rnacentral:rRNA from 1 species
AACAAACGCUGGCGGCGUGCCUAACACAUGCAAGUCGUACGAGAAAGGGUCCUUCGGGGCCUGAGUAAAGUGGCGCACGGGUGAGUAACGCGUGGAUAAUCUGCCCUUCAGUUGGGAAUAACUCAUCGAAAGGUGGGCUAAUACCGAAUAAUGCUGUGAGACCUCGGUUGAUCAGCCAAAGAGAGCCUCUGCUUGCAAGCCCUCGCUGAAGGAUGAGUCCGCGUACCAUUAGCUAGUUGGUAGGGUAAUGGCCUACCAAGGCGACGAUGGUUAGCGGGUAUGAGAGGAUGAUCAGCCACACUGGAACUGAGACACGGUCCAGACUCCUACGGGAGGCAGCAGUGAGGAAUCUUGCGCAAUGGGGGCAACCCUGACGCAGCAACGCCGCGUGAGUGAGGAAGGUCUUCGGAUCGUAAAGCUCUGUCGGAUGGAAAGAACCGCAUAGGGGUAAACAGCCCCUGUGUCUGACGGUACCAUCAAAGGAAGCACCGGCUAACUCCGUGCCAGCCGCCGCCGUAAGAC